rnacentral:rRNA from 1 species
AGGGAAUCUUCCACAAUGGACGGAAGUCUGAUGGAGCAACGCCGCGUGAGUGAUGAAGGUUUUCGGAUCGUAAAACUCUGUUGUAAGGGAAGAACCAGUACGUCAGGCAAUGGACGUACCUUGACGGUACCUUAUUAGAAAGCCACGGCUAACUACGUGCCAGCAGCCGCGGUAAUACGUAGGUGGCAAGCGUUGUCCGGAAUUAUUGGGCGUAAAGCGCGCGCAGGUGGUUUCUUAAGUCUGAUGUGAAAGGUACCGGCUCAACCGGUGACAUGCAUUUGAAACUGAAAGACUUGAGUAUUGGAGAGGCAAGUGGAAUUCCUAGUGUAGCGGUGAAAUGCGUAGAUAUUAGGAGGAACACCGGUGGCGAAGGCGGCUUGCUGGACAAAUACUGACGCUGAGGUGCGAAAGCGUGGGGAGCAAACA